UGACCUUAAGUGGAGGUCUUGGG
rnacentral:piRNA from 1 species